UACGUAGGGGGCAAGCGUUGUCCGGAUUCAUUGGGCGUAAAGAGCGUGUAGGCGGCCAGGUAGGUCGGUUGUGAAAACUGGAGGCUCAACCUUCAGAGGUCGACCGAAACCAUCUGGCUAGAGUCCGGAAGAGGAGAGUGGAAUUCCUGGUGUAGCGGUGAAAUGCGCAGAUAUCAGGAAGAACACCCGUGGCUAAGGCGGUUCUCUAGUACGGUACUGACGCUGAGACGCGAAAGCGUGGGGAGCGAACAGG
rnacentral:rRNA from 1 species